AGUGAACGCUGGCGGUAGGCCUAACACAUGCAAGUCGAACGGCAGCACAGUAAGAGCUUGCUCUUACGGGUGGCGAGUGGCGGACGGGUGAGGAAUACAUCGGAAUCUACUUUUUCGUGGGGGAUAACGUAGGGAAACUUACGCUAAUACCGCAUACGACCUACGGGUGAAAGCAGGGGAGCUUCGGACCUUGCGCGAUUGAAUGAGCCGAUGUCGGAUUAGCUAGUUGGCGGGGUAAAGGCCCACCAAGUCGUCGAUCCAUAGCUGAUGUGAGAGGAUGUACAGCCAUACUUGAUCUUAGACACGGUCCCGACUCCGAAGUUCUGCAGCAGUCGGGAAUAUUGGACAAUGGGGGCAAGCCUGAUCCAGCCAUACAGCGUGUGUGAAGAAGGCCUUCGGGUUGUAAAGCCCUUUUGUUGGGAAAGAAAAGCAGCAUGUUAAUACCCCGCUGUUCUGACGGUACCUAAAGAAUAAGCACCGGCUAACUUCGUG
rnacentral:rRNA from 1 species